rnacentral:lncRNA from 1 species
ACGAGUCUCCUGCUCACUCAUGGGAAGCUUGUCACCGUCACCUUGCGGAGCCUUUAGCUCAGGGAGGCGUGUGACGGCACUCAGGCCCUACCGUCUAUCUGAUGAGAUGAAGAUGACCUUAAGCUGCCGAGGACUGAGCAUUAGGAUCCGUCCUUGGACACUCGGCCACCUCACCAUUCGUGCUCUGAUGUUCUAAGUCAAAUUUGGAGAGCUGGAUAUUCUUGAGACAGGCAGUUUCCAAUGGUGGUUGGAGACACAGGCCAAUGUGAUAGUACAUCAACAUGAAUUUAAAUCUUAACUCUACAAAUGUGAACAUUUGCCUCAGUUUCUUCAAGUAUAACAUGGGAAUAAUAAUUAUGUUACAAUAUUUAUAAUUAUUAUAAAUAUUAAUAAUUUUAUAGGAUAUAAAAACAUAUGACAUCUAUAUUAUCUUUGUCAAGGCCUGUCUGAGCAUAACUUGGUGUAGGUAUGCUUUCAGGAAAGUACACAUUAAAAUUUGUAUGGAACUUUAUUUUGAAACCUUUCUUCUUGAGUUGCAUUGGGACGGCCCCAGUAAAGGAAGAAUCCUUUGUAUUUGUUACAAAUCCCAAGUGCUUGCUUACCACAGACAUACAUGGCUGGUGGCGGCUCUCUUGACCAGUGAACAUCACUGAGCCAGGCUUUGCGUUCUUGUUCUCUCCUGGCUUUUACUUUAACAACUCUGUAGAAUACCAUGGGCUGAGAGCCUGCUUCUAUGGACUUUGCUCCCCGUCCACAGCUCUGCCUCCUCCUCUUUGCAGGAAGCAAUUCAGAACCUAAAGUUUCUCUCCUAGCUGCCAUCUAGUAUCCAAAUCAUCUGUGGGGAUCCCUUACAGAGAGUGGGACAGAGAGCAGGUCCCCUGUGUCCGAAGCACCUCUGCAAGGUUUUGUUGAGCCCUGCCCCUUGACAACACCAUUCAAGGCUUCAGAGAGCCUCUGCCAGUCUCUUACUAAACUAAGGAGAGUGCUGAUAGAUGAGAACUGCCAGGGAGUACAUUGAGGCCAACCUUAACUGCCACGUGUUGGAAAAGAGGGGCUAUAUGCAGAGAAAUCUCCAGUAUUUGAGAGUCUAGUCCACACAGACUUCACACAGUUAUUAUGUGAAACGUGGGAUCAAAGUCUACAGUGAGCAUGGUUCAUUGCAUAUACUGGGGAACCAUGAAUUAAUUUUAAAAGAAAUAAGGGGGAAAGUCCAAACUUAGUAACAUGUCACUUCCUGCAAGCAUUCAGAAGGCAUUCCAUAAAUCUUUCAAAAGCCCUACAUCCCCAAAUACCUUUGUAUUUUUAUAAAAAUGAUAUGUCAAGUUGAAAAUAAAAGCUAAGGGUGGCUAUUGAGUGGUUCCCGAGCUUGGCAGCUGGUUAAAUAAUAAGUCCCAUCAAGAAAACCUCUUUGGUCUUGAUUCCAGUUUGUCUUUACAGAAGUACAAAUUAUCAUCUGUCAUAGGCCUCUUAUGAUCACUCAUGAACACUGUCUACGGAUGUCACCCAGUCUCCAAAAUGCUGAGGGUCUUGAAUAUGAGUAGACAGUCUGUGAGUAAGUUACCAUGUGGAUAACUGUCAUGAGAGCAUACCAAUCACUUAUCUUGUUAAACAGGUACCUGAUCAAUGUGAGUGCUGCUUAAUUAGAAUCCCAUCAAUACGGGUGUUGCUCCUGCAUGAUCGGCCUCUCACAUAACAACUAACAGCAGUAAGAGAGAAAUUGAACUUUGGUUAGCAGUUUUAUUUAGGACUUUUGUUGAUUUGGAGCAGGAUGUCUCUGUGAUGUCCAGGCUGAACUUAAUUCCUCAGCUCAAGUCAUUCUCCUGCCUCACAUUCCCAAGUAACUGAGAUUAAAGAUAUCCUCCACCACACCAACUAGGUUUUGUCUCAUUUCAGAAAGGUAGUUAAUAGGUUGGAAGAUAUCAUUCAUGUUUUGAAGAGUCUGUACAUUAUUAAUUAUGUAUGAUAGCCAGUUCUUUUGUAUUUUUCUCUUAGCAUGGAGAAAACAUCUGCAAAGAUUAACAACUCUGUCAUUAAAACACGAGAACACACCUGGGUACAUUAACAGAAAGUUUCUGUCAGAGACCAGGUUGUAAUAGAGAAUUUGUUUUAUUGUAGCAGAUGCCAUACUGUGUGAAUGGCUUCCUAGUCUACUUCAUCUCUUCAGUUGAAUUCCUCCACAUGGAUCAGCGAUGAUAAAAUGGAAAUAUGGCCUUUUAAAAGUCAACUUCAUUGAAGUAUAGCUUAUGUAACAAUGCUGCAUUCUACGUGUAAACUUUGAUAAACACCAACAGAUGUAUGAAUUCUAUGAUCCCUGCCUCACCCAAGAACAUUUCAGUGACCAGAAACAUUUUUACAUAGUGUUCCUCCUCAUCACCUGGCCCACCACCUUCCACACACACAUCUCUCUCGAGCAGGCACUGAUGUGAUUUCUCCUGCAGUAUGUCAGGUGUGCCUUUUGUCAACACCCACGUGUGUUGAAUCAGCGUGCUCUCUUUGAUCUAAUACUCUCGAUCAACAUGAUGUGUUCGAGAUUCAUUCAUACUGAAGGGAUAUAGCUUAUUGCUGUGUGUGUGUGCGCGCACACGCACGCACCCGCACCCGCACACACACACACACACACACACACACACACGAACUUUUAAAAUCACUUCGUUGUUGAAGUCUGCUCUGAUUUCACUUCUGGGAAUACUGUGAAUAGUUUAUUAGCUGAUUUCGAUGCCAGUCUCACAAGAGGAUUCGUCAUGUCCUCUUUGUCCCCAUCUAAGAAAGGAGUUCAGACUAGUAUUAGUCUGUCUUUGAAUGCUUAAUAGGACUUAACAGUAAGCCCAUCUCCUUGGGAAUUUCUUCUGCAAAGGAUUUUGUUGGUAUCUUGAAGACAUUUGUCUUUUUCAUCUAGGUUGUUGAAAUUUACCAUCAAAUUGUUUAUAACAUGAUUUUGUCCUACUAAUUUAAUGGGGUGAGUUUAGUAAUGCAAAUAGUUUUAAUUUUCAUUUCCAGCAUUUUAUGUUUGCUGGGAGUUUCCAAUUUUACUAAUUUUUUUCAAAGAGGCAGUUUAUAGUUUUAUAAGUUGUCUAAGAGUUUGUCCAUUUUUACUAAUUUCCCAUUAUUACUGUUUCUUUCCUCCUUCCUUUAGGUUUAAUUUUAAAGUAGCAGUAUUCUAGCUUGAACACUUAAAAUACAAGUAAUUCUUUGUUUGAGAUCCUACAUGGUUUGACAAUUUUAUUACAUUAACUUCAGAAUAUGAGCCUGGGAAUUGGCAAGUCCUAGGUUUGAUUCCCAGAUCUCUGGGGCUCCAUGACUAGCCACCCUGACCUUCAUGCCAAUUUGCAACUUUG